AUGUCCACCUCUUUUCCACCUUCUAAGAUUGGCGGCGGCGCUACGUCGCCGACGGCGUCGGCCAUUGUCGCGCAGGCCGUGUCCGGGUCGCACGUCCUCACGGUCGACGGGUACUCCCGCACCAUGGGGCUCGGCACCGGCAAGUUCAUCAAGUCCGGAACGUUCGACGUCCGCGGCCAUAGCUGGUGUAUCCUGUACUACCCCGACCGUAGAACCUCAGAUGACGCCGACUGGAUAUCCAUCUAUCUAUGUCUCGUUCACACCGAUGCCGACGAGGUCAAGGCACAGUUCAAGAUUAGUUUGGUCGAUCAGCACGGGCAAUCAGGGACAUCAUACAGCAACGAAAGCCAGAUAUGCGCCUUCAGAGUAACAGAAGGACCGUGGGGCUCCGGCGUAAUCAAACGCAAGGACUUGGAGGGAUCUGUCUACUUGAAGGACGAUGUCUUGAGAAUCAGGUGUGACGUCACGGUGUCGAUGGAGAUCAUCACCGAGCACACCGCUCCGGCGGUCCUGGUGCCGCCGUCAGACAUGCACCACCAUCUCGCCCGGCUCCUCUCGGCUGGCGAGGGCUCGGACGUCACCUUCGAGGUCGGCGGCGAGGCGUUUCCCGCACACAGGUACAUGCUCGCCGCCCGGUCCUCCGUCUUCAGGGCGGAGCUCCUUGGCCCGAUGAAGGAGAAGACCGCAACUCGCGUACAAAUCAACGACAUGGAUGCCAAUGUGUUCAGGGCUCUCCUCCACUUCAUCUACACCGACUCAUUGCCAGAGAUGGACGACGGGGACUCGACGGCGAUGGCCCAGCAUCUGCUUGUGGCUGCGGACAGGUAUGACAUGGAGCGGCUCAAGCUGAUCUGCGUGGAGAGGCUCUGCAGCGGCCUCUGCAGAAGCACGGUGGCGACGACGUUGGCCUUGGCCGAGUAGCACGGUUGCGGUGCGCUCAAGAAGGUGUGCUUCAAGUUCCUCACUUCUCCGCGGAACCUGAAGGCGGCCAUGGCGAGCGAGGGCUUUCAGCAUCUGAGGAGCAGCUGCCCCUCUCUUCUCGAGGAGUUGCUCGCCAAGCUUGCUCCCUGA
rnacentral:rRNA from 1 species